GACGUAGGAUGCAAGCGUUGUCCGGAUUUAUUGGGCGUAAAGAGUUCGUAGGCGGUUAGUUAAGUCUGGUGUUAAAGACCGUGGCCCAACCACGGAAAUGCAUCGGAUACUGGCUAACUUGAGUGCGGUAGAGGCGAGUGGAAUUCCCAGUGUAGCGGUGAAAUGCGUAGAUAUUGGGAAGAACACCAGUGGCGUAAGCGACUCGCUGGGCCGUAACUGACGCUGAGGAACGAAAGCCAGGGGAGCGAAU
rnacentral:rRNA from 1 species